rnacentral:ncRNA from 2 species
CUCUUAUCCAGAGAGGUGGAGGGACUGGCCCGAUGAAACCCGGCAACAGCCCAUGCGUUGGGGACGACGGAUGGGAAAUGUGCCAAUUCCUGCAGGUGUUUACCUGACAGAUAAGAG